UUGCAUAAUUAUUAAACAUCCCCCACUAUUGCACAUAAUUAAAAUUCCCAACCCCUCCAAACAAACCUUAGCAGCCGUCGCCGUGUGAGAGAGAAGAUCUCGUCAAAACGUGCGAGGUUAGUUUCAACCCAAAGCUCGCAGCCAUCGCCUCCUCCAUCGCCACCGCCAUCACCAUCACUAUAUCCAUUCGUGUCUUUGCCGCCACCGCCACCAAAUGCUUCGAUAAUCUCUUUUCCUAUUGUCUCAUCCGUCGAUGCAUCGUCUCGUUUGGUUGCGAGGCGGUAACUUUUGAGAUUUCCCUCUCUCUCUCUCGCUAUCUCUUUCUCUCUCUUUUCGUUCUUCGUGGAAUCUUUUCGAUUACUUCUCUGAUCUGGUUUGAUUUAUUACUUCUCUAAUUUUAGAUUUGGCUUUUGUUACUUUUGCGAUUAUUCAGUGAACUUGAUGGCAAGACAAUUAGUCUAGAUAUUGUUGCUUAUGGAUUUUGCGAGAAAAUUUUUGUUUUUAUCUAGCAAUUCAAGGAAUCAGUGAUUUUCGGCAAUAUCUGAAGUUUGAUUUCUAUACAUAUGCAUGACACUCUUUUUUUAAUAUGAUAUCCUUUAUUUUAUGCUAACGUAUAAUUUCUUGGAUGUUGUCCUUGUUAACUCAGAGGAAGUGUUCGAUGAUAUCCUCAUAAAAGUUCAAGAAGAUGGAUAAUUCUAAGAAUCUAUUGUAUAUAGAGAAUCUGAUGGAGGAAUUUGUCACCAGCUUUAAUAAAGUGACACAAAAUUUUGAUAUGCUUAAAAUGUGCCCCUGCCAAUCCAGGUAUAUGCUUAAAAUGUGUAUUGUUUUCUGCUAUAUGACUAUGUAUGUUAAUUCAUGGUUAAGAUAGAUAUAUAAAAAUGAUUGGUUACAAGUUGCAACUUGCAUUUAACACAUUGAAAGGGUUGUGAAGAUAAUGUAGCUAUUAACUUGGCAAAGAGAUGUUUGAAUGAAAAAUUGUACAAAAUUUUACCAAAGGUAACAUUUUAAGCUUUUUAUUUAUUAUGUGCUUGACAUUUUACCAAAGGCUGAUGUUGUUAUUAAUUAAUAGUAUUUAUUUAUUAGAGCAGAUUUCAUAUGAAAAGACAGCCACUAAUAAUAAUAGCAGAGGUAGAGGCAGAGCUUGUGACACAGACUUCUGUAUACCACUGGUCAAUUGAAGGUUUCUGGAAAUGAUAAUCCUUCAGUUCUGAUAUCUUCUGUCUCAAAGACACUUAAUUCUGGUCAAAUUUUAUUGAAGCUGCAUGUUAUUGAGCUGGGUGCACAGCCAGGUUCUGGAUAUAUUACUAGGACAUAACGAUGCACUAUUUCAGCGAGCACAAUUGAAAGCCCUUGUUUCAAUCCAUAGCCAAAAGGAAAGGAUCUCCAAAUGAAGGAUCAAGGUAGUGACUCAUCCAUUGAACCAGACACCAAUGUUCCAUCCGAUAGUAUUGAACAAAAUCUUAGUGACAAAGAGAUAAGUGCUCUGUGCUGGGCGUCUUUGAGUGGGUCCAUUCUUGCUGUGGGAUACUUAGAUGGAGAUAUCCUUUUCUGAAAUUUAUCAUCCACAGCACCUUCUAAAGGUCAACAAACUUCAUCUAAAAAUGUUGUUAAGCUACAAUUGUCAAGUGCAGAAAGAAGACUCCCGGUAAUUGUCUUGCAAUGAUCCAGCAACCAAAAAUCCCAUAGUGAUUGUGAUGGAUAGUUGUUUGUCUACGGUGGUGAUGAAAUUGGAUUUGAAGAAGUUUUCACUGUUUUAACUCUUGAAUGGUCAUCUGGGAUGGAGACAGUAAAAUGCAUUAGUCGUGCAGACCUUACCCUUAGUGGCUCUUUUGUAGACUUGAUUUUACUGCCAAGAGCCGGAGCAAUGGAGCUGAAAGAGAAGUUGCCUAUCUUAGAGACCAAAUUGAACCUCAACUUUUAUCCCGAAAAAAUGUUAUGAUCGCCACCCACGGAAACUCCCUAAGAUCCAUUAUCAUGUAUCUCGACAAGUUAACUUCCCAAAAGGUCAUUAGUUUGGAACUGUCAACUGGAAUUCUCAUACUGUAUAUUUUCAAAGAGGGAAGAUUCAUUAGGAGGGGGAGUCCCAUAGGACCACAGGAAGUUGGGGUUUAUGCUUACACCAAGGUAUCUAGUGCAUAAAAAUAGUAAUUAUUAUGUAGAACAAUACCAUAUUCAAUUAUGUUUGGAAUUAUUGAUAUUGAGAAUUUUUUUAUAUAUAGAAUAUAUGUUUUAUA